rnacentral:rRNA from 1 species
GACGAACGCUGGCGGCGUGCCUAAUACAUGCAAGUAGAACGCUGAAGCUUGGUGCUUGCACCGAGCGGAUGAGUUGCGAACGGGUGAGUAAUGCGUAGGUAACCUGCCUGGUAGCGGGGGAUAACUAUUGGAAACGAUAGCUAAUACCGCAUAAGAGUAGAUGUUGCAUGACAUUUGCUUAAAAGGUGCAAUUGCAUCACUACCAGAUGGACCUGCGUUGUAUUAGCUAGUUGGUGAGGUAACGGCUCACCAAGGCAACGAUACAUAGCCGACCUGAGAGGGUGAUCGGCCACACUGGGACUGAGACACGGCCCAGACUCCUACGGGAGGCAGCAGUAGGGAAUCUUCGGCAAUGGACGGAAGUCUGACCGAGCAACGCCGCGUGAGUGAAGAAGGUUUUCGGAUCGUAAAGCUCUGUUGUAAGAGAAGAACGAGUGUGAGAGUGGAAAGUUCACACUGUGACGGUAUCUUACCAGAAAGGGACGGCUAACUACGUG